ensembl:lncRNA
UCAUAUUUAUUUUAUUCCACAUUUCAAAGUCCAAAAAUGUUCCAAUUCCAAUGAUGCUUUCCUUUGAAAAGAAAGGGUCAGACAUUUAAUAUGGAAAGAUGUCCUCUUCCUUUAAAUCUUUAUAUCUAUAGAUAUCAAUAACAUUUAAAUGUCUUCGUUUUAACUAAAUAACAUUGAAACAUUACAGACAUACUUCCUUUCUUGUUUAUUUGUUUGAAUAAUGUAAUCUGUCAAAAACAGAAAUGGGGUUUGGAUCGUGUGAAAACCCUAGUUAAAACUAUUUCAGAAUACAACAAAUAAUACAGAAUGCCACACAUGCCAACAACGCCUGAUAAUAAACAAGUGUAUACUGAUUAAAAGAUGUUUUUGUGAAUUAACUAUAUUGGGCCUAAAAUACAUAGAUCCAGGCAAUGCUAUUGCGCAAUUCCACUUUCACUGUCUACAUACUAUUGCGUCGUUCCCCUUAAUGCCGCUUUCUGAGGAACAAUUAGGGGUCAUAUCUGUAUGCUAACAUGACCAUCUGGUAUCACAUCCUCAUGCAAAAGUGUACAAAGGUGGUCCGUCUGUGUUCAAUAAAGAAACAAAAUAAUAAUGAUGAUAAUAAUUAUGAUUAUGCAAAGAAAUAACAAUGAAAUACAAUUAUUGUUUUUGCAUAAUUUGAUUUAAAUCACUCUGUAAAGCACAUAUCAGUGCAUUACCUGUAGUGGUUGUAUAAAUAAAAUAUGACUCUCAAACAAAAGCCCCAAAAAAGCAAGCAAACAUUGACGUUUAUAAAAAUUAAGUUGGUAAUCAGGAAGGAAGGAGCAAUGUGAUAUUAGUGGUUUUAAAUAUGAACGGAAAUGCCAUGAUGAACAUCAGACACGGCAUUGUUACAAAGAGUAAUAUAAAACCUUCUUGGUAACAUAACAACUGUUUCAAACACAAUACAAAUAUGAAAGUAUGAAAAAGAAAUAUCAUUGGUUUUAAGAUGAGGAGAAAUGCUGGUAAAUGAUCCAGUUUGGAACCAUCUUUGGACCCAUAAAAUAAGUGGUUUUUGACCCAAAUGUUUUUUUGUUAGUGGUCACCAAACUCAGUCGCUAGAAGGCAUUGGCACACAAUAUAGCUGUAUAUAAGCUGACCAUUUAUGACUUUAUAUUGAGGUAAUGAGUGGUAUUACCAACCACCCAGGUAUUUAAAUGUUGUCUAUUUAUAAAAUUGUUGAUGCAUUAAAGUUCUUGUAUUAGCCUUUAAAGACGUAUUGUAUUUAUCUUGGAUUCUAAACAAUACAAAAAAUAGCAGAGAAAACCACCAAAUUUGAG